ensembl:snRNA U2 U2 spliceosomal RNA
AGUAUCUGUUCUUAUCAGUUUAAUAUCUGAUACGUCCUUUAUCUGAGGAC